GGAGGAUCAUUAUCGUAGGGCUUCGGCCCUGUCGAGAUAGAACCCUUGCCUUUUUGAGUACCUUUCGUUUCCUCGGCAGGCUCGCCUGCCAAUGGGGACCACAAAAAACACUUUGCAGUACCUGUAAUAGUCUGAACAAACAAACAAAAAUUAAAACUUUCAACAACGGAUCUCUUGGUUCUGGCAUCGAUGAAGAACGCAGCGAAAUGCGAUAAGUAGUGUGAAUUGCAGAAUUCAGUGAAUCAUCGAAUCUUUGAACGCACAUUGCGCCCUUUGGUAUUCCUUAGGGCAUGCCUGUUCGAGCGUCAUUUAAACCUUCAAGCUCAGCUUGGUGUUGGGUGACUGUCCGCUUCACCGCGGACUCGCCUCAAAAUUAUUGGCGGCCGGUACAUUGGCUUCGAGCGCAGCAGAAACGCGAACUCGGGCCCGUCGUAUUGGCUCCCAGAAGCUAUCUUCACAAUUUUGACCUCGGAUCAGGUAGGGAUACCCGCUGAACUUAAGCAUAUCAAUAAGCGGAGGA
rnacentral:rRNA from 1 species